rnacentral:rRNA from 1 species
UAAAGAUUUUAAGGGCGUACGGUGGAUGCCUUGGCGAUAUCAGCCGAAGAAGGACGCGGUAAGCUGCGAUAAGCUACGGAGAGGUGCAAGCAACCUGUGACCCGUAGAUUUCCGAAUGGGGGAACCCGGCAGUGGUUAUGCACUGUCACCCAUACCUUUGAGUAUGAGGAGGGCACCUGGGGAACUGAAACAUCUAAUUACCCAGAGGAAGAGUAAUCAAACGAGAUUUUCUUAGUAGCGGCGAGCGAACGGGAAAGAGGCCAAACCGGAGCGGGCAACCGCACCGGGGUUGAGGACAGUCAUCAAGUGUAAAUGAGGUAGAAGAAUCGAGCUGGAAAGCUCAGCCGUAGAAGGUGAAAGCCCUGUAAUCGAAACCUUGCAUACAUGGGACUGUAUCCAGAGUACCACGAGACACGUGAAACCUUGUGGGAAGCAGGGGGGACCACCCUCCAAGCCAAAAUACUGAUAUCGACCGAUAGCGCAUAGUACCGUGAGGGAAAGGUGAAAAGAACCCCUGGCGGGGAGUGAAAGAGAACCUGAAACCGUAUGUCUACAAACAGUCGAAGUCUGUAUAUAUAUCAGGACGACGGCGUGCCUAUUGAAGAAUGAACCGACGAGUUACUGUUGCUAGCGAGGUUAAGUGGAAAACAUGGAGCCGCAGCGAAAGCGAGUCUGAACAGGGCGUUCAGUUAGUAAUAGUAGACCCGAAACCGUAGUGAUCUAUCCAUGGCCAGGUUGAAGCACAGGUAAAAUUGUGUGGAGGACCGAACUCGUGAGCGUUGAAAAGCUUUGGGAUGAGUUGUGGAUAGGGGUGAAAUGCCAAUCGAACACGGAGAUAGCUGGUUCUCCCCGAAAUAGCUUUAGGGCUAGCCUCGAGGUAGAGAGUAUAGGCGGUAGAGCACUGAUCGGGCUAGGGGCCAUACCGGUUACCGAACCUAGUCAAACUACGAAUGGCUAUACUUAUACUCGGGAGUCAGACAGUGAAUGAUAAGGUCCAUUGUCAAGAGGGAAACAGCCCAGAACACCGACUAAGGUCCCCAAUGUUACACUAAGUGGCGAAGGAUGUGGAAUUUCCAAAACAACCAGGAUGUUGGCUUAGAAGCAGCCACCAUUUAAAGAGUGCGUAAUAGCUCACUGGUCGAGAGACUCUGCGCCGAAAAUGUCCGGGGCUAAAGUGUAAAACCGAAGUCGUGUCAUAUGCAGCAAUGUAUAUGGGUAGGGGAGCGUUCUCAUCGGGCUGAAGCAGUACCGUAAGGAGUUGUGGACUGAUGAGAAGUGAGAAUGUCGGUAUGAGUAGCGAAAAGAAUGGUGAGAAUCCAUUCCACCGAAAGCCUAAGGGUUCCUGAGCAACGAUCGUCGUCUCAGGGUAAGUCGGGACCUAAGCCGAGGCGGAAAAGCGUAGGCGAUGGACAACAGGUUGAAAUUCCUGUACCGGUGUGAAUCGUUUGAUCGAUGGAGUGACACAGUAAGGUAGGUCAGCACGCGAUUGGAAGAGCGUGUUUAAGCAGGUAGGUUGAGCUAUAGGCAAAUCCGUAGCUCUAAAAGCUGAGAUGUGAUGACGAGUGACUAGCAAUAGUCGCGAAGUGAUUGAUCCUACACUGUCGAGAAAAGCUUCUAGGUAGAGACACAUCGCCCGUACCAAAACCGACACAGGUAGGCGGGGAGAGAAUCCUAAGGUGCGCGGGAAAACCCUCGUUAAGGAACUCGGCAAAAUGCCUCCGUAACUUCGGGAAAAGGAGGACUCAUGUAGUGUGAAGAGCAGAAGCGCUUGGAGCAUGAAUGAGUGGCACAAGAGAGGCGCAAGCGACUGUUUACCACAAACACAGGUGCCUGCUAAAGCGAAAGCUGAUGUAUAGGUGCUGACACCUGCCCGGUGCUGGAAGGUUAAGAGGAGGGGUUAGACUUCGGUCGAAGCUCUGAAUUGAAGCCCCAGUAAACGGCGGCCGUAACUAUAACGGUCCUAAGGUAGCGAAAUUCCUUGUCGGGUA